AGUUGUAAUUUGUAGAGGAUGCUUUUGGUGAGGUGCCGCCCGAGUUCCCUGGAACGGGACGCCACAGAGGGUGAGAGCCCCGUCUGGCUGGCCACCGAGCCUCUGUAAAGCUCCUUCGACCAGUCGAGUAGUUUGGGAAUGCUGCUCANAAUGGGAGGUAUUUGUCUUCUAAAGCUAAAUAUUGUUCAAAGACCGUAAGCGCACAAGUAGAGUGAUUGAAAGAUGAAAAGCACCU
rnacentral:rRNA from 1 species